CAUGGGAGCCGGGGGUACCGUGAAGUCCGUAACCGCGAGGAUCGGCCUAGGGUAAAACUGGUGACUGGGGCUAAGUCGUAACAAGGUAAC
rnacentral:rRNA from 1 species